AAGUCGAACGCUCGUGGCAACACGGGGAGUGGCAGACGGGUGAGUAACGCGUGGGAACCAACCCUUUUCUACGGAAUAACUGAGGGAAACUUCAGCUAAUACCGUAUACGCCCUACGGGGGAAAGAUUUAUCGGAGAAGGAUGGGCCCGCGUCUGAUUAGCUAGUUGGUGAGGUAACGGCUCACCAAGGCGACGAUCAGUAGCUGGUCUGAGAGGAUGAUCAGCCACAUUGGGACUGAGACACGGCCCAAACUCCUACGGGAGGCAGCAGUGGGGAAUAUUGGACAAUGGGGGCAACCCUGAUCCAGCCAUGCCGCGUGAGUGAUGAAGGCCUUAGGGUUGUAAAGCUCUUUCGUCAGGGAAGAUAAUGACGGUACCUGAAGAAGAAGCCCCGGCUAACUUCGUGCCAGCAGCCGCGGUAAUACGAAGGGGGCUAGCGUUGUUCGGAAUUACUGGGCGUAAAGCGCACGUAGGCGGACAUUUAAGUCAGGGGUGAAAUCCCAGGGCUCAACCCUGGAACUGCCUUUGAUACUGGGUGUCUUGAGUACGAGAGAGGUGAGUGGA
rnacentral:rRNA from 1 species